GUCACGAUAGCUCAAGUGGUCAGAGCACCGGCGUCUUGAGCCGAAGGUCAUGGGUUCGACUCCCGCUCGUGACA